CCCAAAGAACACAAAAAGGCCAAAAAAGAAACACCAAAGUUGGAGAGUAGCCACCACCCCGCCCUUAAACCCCGAGCGGCAGAGAUGAUUGGAGGCGGCAAGAGCUACGUCUCAGCCCCACCGGCCUCCUCCACCGGCUAUACAGAUACUGUCGUUGGAGGGCCACACGGCGUUGGUCACCGCCGUCAUAGUGGUUCCCGGUAACAAAGCCCUCAGCUUCUGCUGGACGGCCUCGCUCUUGACGGCACCGUUAGGUAUUGGGACUUUGCCGCCGCCGAGUUGAUGAAGACCACUGAUAUCAAAAUGCCUAUUUACUCCAUGGUAAUACCUUCUGUCACUCCAUGACUAGAAAACCACAAGUUACAUCUAUCAGUCCCUCAGGAAAAUUCUUUGAAAAAGCGGAAGCUUCAUAUCUGGAGAACCCCUGGCUAAAGAUUCUAAACUCCCAGUGGCCAAGAUUACGCUACACCAUACAAGAAAUUUCACACUUCUUGCAUUUCAUACAACAAAGAGGCUCGUUGCUGCAGGUGAUACAUCUGGGAGAAUUCUAAUCUGGAGAGGGUUUGGUAACCGUACAUUUUCAGAUGGUGACAAACUAGUAAACUGAGGAUCAAUGAAUGAUGAGGAAGAAAGACCUGGGAUCAGGGGAGAUGAUGAUGCUGACUCUUGCACCACUUGGCAUUGGCAUCCUACUGGAAUUAAUCUCCUUCGUUUUUCUUCUGAUGGAGCGUAUUUAUAUUCAGACUUGACCAUUCAAUGACACAAUGUUGGUAUUCAGGUGGAAAGGAAGGAGUUCUCGUGGACUGGCAGCUAGACACAGGGAAAAAGAAAUUUUUACCAAGAAUUGGAUCUCCACUUCUAUAUUUAACUGAUUCUCUAGAUCCUUCACUUUCUGCUAUAUCUUGUGCAGAUAAUCAAAUUCACUUACAAAAAAUGCCCUCAAUGGAAAUCACAAAGUCUAUUUCAGGGAUCAAGCCCCCCUUUUCUUCUCCGGAUGUAUAUGAAGGCAUAUGCAGCAAGUUUGCCUUCGAUGACACUGCUGGGUUAGUUGCCUUGCGCACAGAGAACUAUCGCAUCCAGUUUUACAGCUUGUUUGAUGACCGUGAAAUUUCUGAGGGCUGUUCACUCGGGAUUCAAAAAGACUCUUUUGCCCUUCAUUUUCUGUUCAGUUACAUCCCUGCCAUUCAGUCUGGGUAAAAAGGCCCCCGACUGCAGCUUUAGAUAUUUUCUCUCUCUCGCUCUCUUCCCUCACGAACUGUAACCUGAGAAGGAGAGAAUCUUGGAUGCUUCUCUGCUCGGCUUAAUUUGGGGUUAAAUUUGUGCUUACCCAGUUGGUAAUUGAUUUGACGGUGAAGAUACAAAACUCCAGAAACCAAUACCAUCAGACUUCACAACAAUCAGCUUUUGGAGAAAGCACUGGAAGAAUGUGGUGAUGGUUUGGAUUUAGCAAUAAGAAGCUUGAAUCAGCUAUACUUUUGUUUGGCUGCAAAUAAAUCUGGUGUGCUGUCAGAAGCAGGUUUCCAAUCCCAGCCUGGAGUCACCGUGUUAGAAGGAAAAACAAGCAGUUAAUCCCUCUUUACAUACACCUAUUCGAUUAUACACACUCUUGGCACAUGUAGAGGGUCAACCGAAGGGUGAUAGAAUGUCCAAGCCUGAACUAUUUGUGAUAGCAAAACAUCCAGGUCAAAACCAACCAAGAGAUUUGUUUGGAAAAAAAAAAAUCCAUAAAUACCAGUAUAUGCAAUGGUGUUCGUCAUUCAAUUGCAAAAUAUGAUUUAGAGUCCAGUUGCAGUUGGCUGCAAAGAUGUUAGUUGGUUGCUUGGCUUAUCAAGUUUAUCUUUCGAUGUACAUAAAUAUCUACUGUGGUGCACUUUCUAGUUCUAUAUAUACUAAUUGAGUGCUCGAGCAGGUAUAGGAAAAGACGCUUUUAUCCCUCUUUCCUCUUAUUUUACGACGCUGCCACUAACCUGGGUAUAAGAACCUAUCGAUCAGCAGCAGCAGUUUUGUUCUCUUUCCGCUCUCUUCUCCCCCUUCAGAAAGUGAUAGCCACGGAUUGCGACAGAGAGAGAGAGAGGUAUUCUGUGUCUUCUGGGUCCCUUCACUAUUCUGUGAGAGAGAGAACAAGGGAGUGAAGGCUGAUCCGAGAGAGAGGAAGAACAGGGAACGGGAAUAGGAAGAAGAAUUUGAUACACCAAGUUGAGGUAUGACAAAUCAAAAUGGUGGUUGGGCCGACAGCAAAGGGAUCUUCAUUUUAAGAGGCUUCCAAAAAAGCUUUUGCUGAUGCAUAUGCGGUGACGGCAGUUAGCCAAGAAGUUGUUCAUCCGGAAAGUUCCAAUUAAAAGAAGCAGAGUUCAAAGCUCCGUCUAUCUGAGCUUCUAUAUAUAUAAAUGAAAGAGGGGAGGAUUUACGAUCGUUCAUCAGGCUGUUGGCACUAACAGAACCAAGCCAAAUCCUAAAGGUGAAAAACCCAUAAGCAUUGAUAUAGAGAACAUCUGAGAAAUAUAUGAGCUGGAGACACAAAUGCAACUUCUAAAAGUUCCUCACAAGAUGGCCAGACAAAGAGGGACUCAGAUUACUCAUCAAAUGAGAAUUGGCGCCAUGAUGAGCCAUUAUCUGUAUCUGCCAUCCUAUUACCAAUUAAUCAUUUUGAAUUGAAUGAUCAUGUGGUAUUUGGUGCCUGCCACACUAUCUUCACUACUUAUUAUGCCUUAGUCAGAGGGUACAAGUCUGUGAGAGAAACCAUCAACCGGGCGAUGAAGUCUCUGUAAUAGUGACUUUGGUGUGUCUGUCUGGAGAUGGCUCUAUGAUGAGCACGGUGGAAGUUAAUCUUCCUGAGGAUGGAAUAGGUGGUCUUGUGUGUCUUAAGUUCUGGGCAUCAGAUUUGCAGAACAAAAAUUUCAACUUGUCCACCAUUGUGUGUGAACCUCACAGGCCAAGGGAGGGGGACUUGCUUUCCUUAAAGGGAACUCACCUUCCUUUCAACAACAAAGUAUAGCAGAUGGAAAAUCACCACAAGCUUUGCUUGCCUAUAUAAAUGCCGAUCAUGAGUACAUCCUCUUUGGUCCAUA